UAGAACCUAGACGAUUUCUUUGCACACAUUUUAGGCCCAGUCCGUAAACAGAAGGAGAAUUCCUCCCCACUUUGGCUAGGAAAAUAGCCUUUUUGGCUGGAGAUCUGUUCCUUGCAGCAGCAACACCUUAAUUAACAUUAUUUUCUGGACACCAAAGCUAGCUUCAGGAUGGUGAUGAACAUAGUCCGGAACUACUGGUGGGCGGCCAUCACACCUGCCUUCGCCCUGGUGGGUUACUACCUUGACACCCAACAGACCGUCAGGUACUCCGGCUGGAAGAACAGGACGGAGCUCUACAAACGGGAACUCAAGGAAGGAGAAGACCCAUGGACCUCGACUGUUCGAUCAUGAUCUGAGGGUCGAACUGCUAGUGGUCUUUGAGGAGUAGAGGAUAUCUAUUUUGGACAUUAUCAACAAAUUUAUUAGGACUUGAAAAACAGGAAUUUAAGCCAGUAGGACAGAACACUUCAAACAGGAGCUUAAGGAAGGAGAGGACCCAUGGACCGACCUCGACUGUUCGAUCAUGAUCUGAGGGUUAAACUGCUGGUAGUCUUUCAGGAGUAGAGGAUAUCUAUUUCGGACUUUAUCAACAAAUUUAUUAGGACUGUACAAAUGGGAACUGAAGCAAGGAGAAGGCUGAUGGACAUCGACUGUUAGAUCCUGAUCGGAGGGGAGAAGUUUUAGUGGUCUCUGAAAAGUAGAGGAUAUCAAUUUCGCCUUUCUUGGACAUUACCUACAAAGUCAUGUUCAGCUUCACUGUAGACAGCAAUCAGGCAGCAAUAGCUUUGAUAAAGAGAAUCAUUUUAAUAGAACUGAAAGACAUUGUCUUACGUUUCAUUGCAUUGUCUUAUUAUGUUGACAAUGCAUAGAAUGUAACCAGACAUCUAAAUUAAAAAAAUGUUAAAAAAUUACAAAAAACAGACUUGUGGUCCGUGAUAACUGUGUUUGCAGAUGCCCAAGAUAUACAUGUAUGAUUAUUUCAAGUUUACCCUUGACCCAAUAUACAUGUAGUUGUGAAGAAUAUUCCAAUAGCAUCUAUUACAUGGAUGCACUCCGCAGAAUUUGCAAUUCUGUGAGACCAAGUCAAAAGCUUCUACGAAUGCAUGUGUCAUGGCUCUCUUUUCCCAGUGUAUACUUAUAAAAGAGUUUUAUGGUGGAUUUCAAUUUUUGAAUGGGUUUUCCCUUCAUGAAAGAUGUAAAAUAAACAUUGAAAAUAGA